rnacentral:rRNA from 1 species
UACGUAGGGACCAAGCGUUGUUCGGAUUUACUGGGCGUAAAGCGCACGUAGGCGGAUCAGCAAGUUAGGGGUGAAAUCCCGGGGCUCAACCCCGGAACUGCCUUUAAGACUGUUGGUCUGGAGUCCGAGAGAGGUGAGUGGAAUUCCGAGUGUAGAGGUGAAAUUCGUAGAUAUUCGGAGGAACACCAGUGGCGAAGGCGGCUCACUGGCUCGGUACUGACGCUGAGGUGCGAAAGCGUGGGGAGCAAACAGGG